UACCUAGGGGGCAAGCGUUAUCCGGAUUUAUUGGGCGUAAAGGGUGCGUAGACGGAGAAACAAGUUGGUUGUGAAAUCCCUCGGCUCAACUGAGGAACUGCAACCAAAACUAUUUCCCUUGAGUGUCGGAGAGGAAAGUGGAAUUCCUGGUGUAGCGGUGAAAUGCGUAGAUAUUAGGAGGAACACCGGUGGCGAAGGCGACUUUCUGGACGAUAACUGACGUUGAGGCACGAAAGUGUGGGGAGCAAACAGG
rnacentral:rRNA from 1 species